rnacentral:rRNA from 1 species
UACGUAGGGGGCAAGCGUUGUCCGGAAUCAUUGGGCGUAAAGAGCGUGUAGGCGGCUCGAUAAGUCUGCUGUGAAAGUCCAGGGCUCAACCCUGGAAGGCCGGUGGAAACUGUCGGGCUAGAGUCCGGAAGAGGCGAGUGGAAUUCCCGGUGUAGCGGUGGAAUGCGCAGAUAUCAGGAGGAACACCGGUGGCGAAGGCGGGACUCUGGGCCGAUACUGACGCUGGAGGAGCGAAAGCGUGGGGAGCGAACAGG